rnacentral:piRNA from 1 species
UGAAUUUUGAUUUCUGAAGGAUAAAAUGUU